rnacentral:rRNA from 1 species
UACGUAGGUGGCAAGCGUUAUCCGGAUUUAUUGGGCGUAAAGGGAACGCAGGCGGUCUUUUAAGUCUGAUGUGAAAGCCUUCGGCUUAACCGGAGUAGUGCAUUGGAAACUGGGAGACUUGAGUGCAGAAGAGGAGAGUGGAACUCCAUGUGUAGCGGUGAAAUGCGUAGAUAUAUGGAAGAACACCAGUGGCGAAAGCGGCUCUCUGGCCUGUAACUGACGCUGAGGUUCGGAAGCGUGGGUAGCAAACAGG